rnacentral:rRNA from 1 species
GGACCCGCACAAGCGGUGGAACAUGUGGUUCAAUUCGAAGCUACGCGAAAAACCUCACCAAGGCUUGACAUGUAGGAAGUAGUGAACCGAAAGGGGAACGACCUGUCAAAUCAGGAGCUUACACAGGUGCUGCAUGGCUGUCGUCAGCUCGUGUCGUGAGAUGUUGGGUUAAGUCCCGCAACGAGCGCAACCAUUAUCUUUAGUUGCAACCAUUUUAGCCUUCGGGCUUAAAGUGAGCACUUUAAAGAGACUGCCUGGGUUAACCAGGAGGAAGGCGGAGAUGACGUCAAGUCAGUACGGCCUUUAUGCCUUGGGCUACACACGUGUUACAAUGGCCGGUACAAAGGGUUGCCAACCCGCGAGGGGGAGCUAAUCUCAGAAAAUCGGCCCCAGUUCGGAUUGAAGUCUGAAAUUCGACUUCAUGAAGCCGGAAUCGCUAGUAAUGGUAGAUCAGCACGCUACCGUGAAUACGUUCCCGGGUCUU